AUGUCCGAAGCAAGAAGCAUGAGUCACAGAUUUCGUUCUAAUCAGUUUCUCUCUCCAAGUGAUAAGAAAUCAAAGGCAGUAGUCCUAUGUGUUCGCUUAGGAUCCACUCAUUCAACUCUAACUUGUACUGCGAGUUUUCACUUCAAACUUGUGAGCCAGAAAGGCCCUUGUUUGUUUUUUUCUUUUCUAUAGAAACUUUCAACUCAACAUCGCUUCUUCUUCUUCCUCCAACGUCUGCAGCUUGCUGAUGGGUCUCUUCUUAACGGGAAAUUGAGCUCAUUUCCCAUCUGGGUUUUGUGAUUUGGGACAGAAUGAUGCCUUUGACAAGCAAAAGCAUUGAUUUUGCUGGGAAAAAAUUGGUUUCUUGUGGCUGUGCAUCCAAUGCUUCUUUUGACCGUUACACGGUGAGGAAUUAUGCAAAGGUGGAUUCUAAAGGGUGUGGCAGAGGACAUGGAACUCGUAAAUUGAUUUGUUGUCAGAGUAGGAGCACGAAAUCUCGGGUUUCUUCUAUGAAGACUGCAGAGCCUACGGUUGAUGGUGGAACUCAAGCAAUUAAAGGUCUUACAGGAGGAUUGGACUUGAAGAGUUAUUUCGAAACCCCCAUUUCCCCUACUCGGUUGUUUGAAGUGGUUGCUGAUGAUCUGCAAACCCUUAAUAAAAAUCUUCAGUCGAGAUAAUUGAAAUGAUUCAUACUGCAAGUUUGAUACACGAUGAUGUAUUAGAUGAGAGUGACCUACGAAGAGGUACAGUUGCACAACAAGAGGAAAGGACUGUACAACAAUAGAAGAGGGCUCCACAACAACAGAAAAGGGCUGCAAAACAUGAUUUUUGUAUCUUGUUUGGAUGUAUAUGACAUAGACAUAGACUUUUUUCAUUAGUAUAUAACAGAGACAUUUGUACACAUAAUUACAU